rnacentral:rRNA from 1 species
GACGAACGCUGGCGGCGUGCUUAACACAUGCAAGUCGAACGAUGAAGCCUUGCUUGCUAGGUGGAUUAGUGGCGAACGGGUGAGUAAUACGUGAGUAACCUACCUUUAACUCUGGGAUAAGCCUGGGAAACUGGGUCUAAUACCGGAUACGACCAAUCUCCGCAUGGGGUGUUGGUGGAAAGCGUUAUGUAGUGGUUAUAGAUGGGCUCACGGCCUAUCAGCUUGUUGGUGAGGUAACGGCUCACCAAGGCGACGACGGGUAGCCGGCCUGAGAGGGUGACCGGCCACACUGGGACUGAGACACGGCCCAGACUCCUACGGGAGGCAGCAGUGGGGAAUAUUGCACAAUGGGCGCAAGCCUGAUGCAGCGACGCCGCGUGAGGGAUGACGGCCUUCGGGUUGUAAACCUCUGUUAGCAGGGAAGAAGAGAAAUUGACGGUACCUGCAGAGAAAGCGCCGGCUAACUACGUG